GCACAAGCGGUGGAGCAUGUGGUUUAAUUCGAAGCAACGCGAAGAACCUUACCAAAUCUUGACAUCCUUUGAUCACUCUAGAGAUAGAGCUUUCCCCUUCGGGGGACAAAGUGACAGGUGGUGCAUGGUUGUCGUCAGCUCGUGUCGUGAGAUGUUGGGUUAAGUCCCGCAACGAGCGCAACCCUUAAACUUAGUUGCCAGCAUUUAGUUGGGCACUCUAGGUUGACUGCCGGUGACAAACCGGAGGAAGGUGGGGAUGACGUCAAAUCAUCAUGCCCCUUAUGAUUUGGGCUACACACGUGCUACAAUGGACAAUACAAAGGGCAGCUAAACCGCGAGGUCAUGCAAAUCCCAUAAAGUUGUUCUCAGUUCGGAUUGUAGUCUGCAACUCGACUACAUGAAGCUGGAAUCGCUAGUAAUCGUAGAUCAGCAUGCUACGGUGAAUACGUUCCCGGGC
rnacentral:rRNA from 1 species